CUGAACGCUGGCGGCGUGGUUUAAGACAUGCAAGUCGCACGGGGUAAGCAAUACCCAGUGGCGCAAGGGUGAGUAAUGUAUCGCCUAAUGUACCCGGACUCUGGGAUAGCUGCCCGAAAGGGCAGGUAAUACCAGAUGAUAUAACCGGCCCCGCAUGGGUUGGUCUCAAAGGUCCGCCGGUCUGGGCGCAGGCGAUAUCGUAUCAGCUAGUUGGUGAGGUAACGGGCCCACCAAGGCAACGACGCGUAGCCGGACUGAGAGGUCGGUCGGGCCACAUCGGGACUGAGACACUGCCCGGACUCCUACGGGGGGCUGCAGUAAACGAAUCUUCCCCAAAUGGGCGCAAGCCUGAGGGAGCGACGCCGCGUGGAGGAUGAAGUCCUUCGGGAUGUAAACUCCUGUCAGGGGUUAGAAAGUUCUGAUCAACCCCAAAGGAAGAGACCGGCUAACUCUGUGCCAUGCAGCCGCGGUAAGACAGAGGUCUCAAGCGUUAGGCGGAAUCACUGGGCUUAAAGCGUGUGUAGGCGGAUCGUUAAGUGCUUUGUGAGAUCCCACAGCUCAACUGUGGAACUGCUUGGCAUACUGCGGUCUUGAGCCUAUCUAGGGGGUCCGCUGGAACAAACGGUGAGCGGUGAAAUGCGUAGAUAUCGUUUGGAAACGCCAAUGGUGAAAACAGGCGACUGGGAUGUGCUGACGCUGAGACAACGAAAGCCAGGGAGCAAACGGGGAUUAGAUACCCCGGUAGUCCUGGCCCUAAACGAUGUCCACUAGAUCGUAGUACCUCUGACGGUUUUUACGGUCGAAGGCAAAAAGUGCUAAGUGGACCGCCCUGGGAAGUACGGGUCGCAAGGCUAAAACUCAAAGAAUUGACGGGGGCUCACACAAGCGGUGGAGCAUGUGGUUCAAAUUCGAAGCAACGCGCAGAAACCUUACCUGGGCUUGACAUGCCUAGGAAUUAUCUCCGUGAAAGCGGAAGUAGGCCCUUCGGGGUACAACUAGUACAGGUGCUGCAUUGCUGUCGUCAACAUCGUGUCGUGAUAGAUGUCGGGUUAAGUCCCAUAACGAGCGAAACCUUUGCCCUUAGUUACCAGCGGGUUAUGCCGGGACUCUAAGGGGACUGCCGGUGUCAAACCGGAGGAAGGUGAGAUGACGUCAAGUCCUCAUGGCCUUUAUGCCCAGGGCCACACACGUGCUACAAUGGGAUGGACAAAGCGAACCUAAAGCGCAAGCUCAUGGAAAUCGCAAAAAUCAUCCCCCAGUUCAGAUAGGAGGCUGCAACUCGCCUCCUUGAAGUUGGAAUCGCUAGUAAUCACGGAUCAGCUACGCCGCGGUGAAUGUGUUUCCUGAGCCUUGUACACACCGCCCGUCAAGUCAUGGGAGCCGGAAUAGCCGAAGUUGUCUCAAUUCAGAGAUACCUACGCUAGGUUCGGUGACUGGGACU
rnacentral:rRNA from 1 species